AACGAACGCUGGCGGCAGGCUUAACACAUGCAAGUCGAACGCAUGCAUUCGGGCAUGAGUGGCAGACGGGUGGGGAACGCGUGGGAACCUACCCAUUGGUACGGGAUAGCUCCGGGAAACUGGAGAUAAUACCGUAUGUGUCCUGAGGGACAAAGAUUCAUCGCCAAGGGAUGGGCCCGCGUCGGAUUAGCUAGUUGGUGGGGUAACGGCCUACCAAGGCGACGAUUCGUAGCUGGUCUAAGAGGAUGAUCAGCCACAUUGGGACUGAGACACGGCCCAAACUCCUACGGAAGGCAGCAGUGGGGAAUAUUGGACAAUGGGCGCAAUCCUGAUCCAGCCAUGCCGCGUGAGUGAUUAAGUCCCUAGGGUUGUAAAGCUCUUUCACCGGUGACGAUAAUGACGGUAACCGGAGAAGAAGCCCCGGCUAACUUCGUG
rnacentral:rRNA from 1 species